UACGUAGGGCGCAAGCGUUGUCCGGAAUUAUUGGGCGUAAAGAGCUCGUAGGCGGCUUGUCGCGUCGAUUGUGAAAGCCCGGGGCUUAACUCCGGGUCUGCAGUCGAUACGGGCAGGCUAGAGUGUGGUAGGGGAGAUCGGAAUUCCUGGUGUAGCGGUGAAAUGCGCAGAUAUCAGGAGGAACACCGGUGGCGAAGGCGGAUCUCUGGGCCAUUACUGACGCUGAGGAGCGAAAGCGUGGGUAGCAAACAGG
rnacentral:rRNA from 1 species